CGGACGACGGUGGAACGCACGCCGCACACCACAGAUCAUGAGCGAACACCCAUCCAUACCGUUCCUGUGGACCUUUCUACCCCAAACACGUACAUCCGGCUGUGGUACGAUCUAUCUCCAUAACAGAAAAACCAUCAAACCAAAAGACACAAGAGGCUUGGAAUGUUGCUUGGGCCUUGGCUGCAUGAGAACUAUCCAAUCCAUCUAGAGUCUUCGAC